CCUACGGGAGGCAGCAGUGAGGAAUAUUGGUCAAUGGCCGGAAGGCUGAACCAGCCAUGCCGCGUGAAGGUCAGUGCCCUAUGGGCGUUAAACUUCUUUUGUGCGGGAGCAAUAAUGGUCACGUGUGGCCAGACGAGAGUACCGUACGAAUAAGCAUCGGCUAACUCCGUGCCAGCAGCCGCGGUAAUACGGGGGAUGCAAGCGUUAUCCGGCUUUAUUGGGUUUAAAGGGUGCGUAGGCUGUGAGGUAAGUCAGCGGUGAAAUGCCCCCGCUCAACGGGGUGAAGUGCCAUUGAUACUGCCUUGCUGGAAUGCGGAUGCCGUGGGAGGAAUGUGUGGUGUAGCGGUGAAAGGCAGAGAUAUCACACAGAACACCGAUUGCGAAGGCAUCUCACGAAUCCGCGAUUGACGCUGAUGCACGAAAGCGUGGGUAUCAAACAGGAUUAGAGACCCGAGUAGUC
rnacentral:rRNA from 1 species